rnacentral:misc_RNA from 1 species
AAGUCGUAACAAGGUUUCCGUAGGUGAACCUGCGGAAGGAUCAUUAAUGAUUUUUAAAGCGAGUCGAGCGUUUAAGCGAGGCUUUGCGAAAAUAUUUAAAAUCCCACUCUUAUUAACUUUAAAAAAAUAAAUCAUGAUACAUGAAUUUAAAAAAAAGAUCACUUUCAACAACGGAUCUCUUGGCUCUC